CCUUAUCACUUUUCCAGCCUCGCUUCACUCUAAUGUGCUGGACGGAGAACUGAUAAGGGC
rnacentral:pre_miRNA from 1 species